AUAUUACUUCCUCCGUCUUAAAAUUCUUGUCUUACAUUUGUCUAGAUAUGAAUGUAUCUAAUCACGUAUUGGUAUUUAGAUACAUUCAUUUUUAAAUAAACUUAAAAUAAGAAUUUUGAGACAAAGGGAGUACUAU
rfam:Hordeum vulgare subsp. vulgare, WGS project CAJW01000000 data, contig: morex_contig_2546943